AUGGCUCCAGCUCGAGUUGUCGCCGUAAUGCUGCUGGCGGUUGGCAGUGUGCUGCUGUCUGUGGCUGCGGACACCGCAACUGUGCCAUCCCCAGAACCGUUCAUCUGGAAGAAGGCGCAUGCGACAUUCUACGGUGGCGCUGACGCCUCCGACACAAUGGGUGGUGCGUGCGGGUAUGGCAACCUCUUCUCCGAAGGAUACGGGACACGCACGGCCGCUUUGAGCACCGUGUUGUUUAAUGAUGGCGCCGCGUGCGGGCAGUGUUACAAGAUUGCAUGCGACCGCAAGCGUGCAGACCCGUUGUUUUGCAAGCCCGGCGUUACGGUCACCGUCACUGCCACAAACUUCUGUCCGCCCAACAACGCCCUCCCCAAUGAUGAUGGCGGCUGGUGCAACACGCCAAGGCCGCACUUUGAUAUGGCCCAACCAGCCUGGGAGAAGAUCGGUGUUUAUAAAGGUGGCAUCAUCCCCGUCAUGUACCAAAGAGUUCCGUGCGUGAAGCGGGGUGGUGUGAGGUUCAAAAUCAAUGGUCACGAUUACUUCAAUCUUGUGCUUGUGAGCAAUGUUGCUGCAGCAGGAUCGAUCAAGUCCAUGGAUGUCAAGAGCUCUGAUUCUGAUGACUGGAUGCCUAUGGCACGCAAUUGGGGCGCUAACUGGCACUCGUUGGUGAACCUGACUGGAAAGAUGCUCUCUUUCAGACUAACAAACACUGAUGGACACACUAUUGUGUUUAACGACGUUGUGCCAAAGGGGUGGACCUUCGGGCAAUCCUUUGUUAGCAAAUUGCAAUUCUAG
rnacentral:rRNA from 1 species